AGCGGGGUAGCUUCAACCGCUUCACUGGGCAGGGAGUUCCAGAAAUUCACAAAUAGAUAACAGUAUUUCACUUGUAGAAUUUUACUCACUUACUGUGCACAUUAAUUGUGAAGGAUGGAAGGAGGAGUAUUACACAUAUGAUAAACCUAUAAGAGAACAAGUAGGGGAUUAAAGGACAUCAUCUUCAUAAAAGAAAAAGUUCCUGGUUUGCUGUGUGCGAACACCUCGAUGUAAUUGUCUGCUUCCUCUGCUUGCUGACAUCCCUGCUGCUACAUGCCAAGAUGUCCCCUAGACUUGAUGUCAGGUUUAAGCAGCAAUUGGAAAAAGGACUACAUCUUUGUGGGCAACUUAGAUCAAGAUCUGCUCCAAGUACCCUUGCUUCACAGUUUCCCAUAAUUCUGGGACAGAACAUGAAUAAUUUGAGACAUGACAUAUGGGAAAUAUGGCAUAUUUGGGUGUAAUAUGUGGCUUUGGAUGUGUUCCAAAGUGUUUCACUACUGAGAUAUUUGUCAUGUAAUGUGUGGGCCUGUUCUAGUCUAAUCAUUAGAGAUUGAUCAGUAUGGUUAAUAAUUCUCCCCCUUAUUGGGAAAUGUGACAAACAGUGUCAUAGAAGAUGAACGGGGUGUUUUACAUCAUUUAUUGAUUCUUUUGAAACAUUUACUCCUUCAAGUCUUAGCUAUAAUGAUUCACACAUGCUGUAAGAUUUUUUUAACAGAAUGGAAUUUGUAACGUUGAAUUUGACCUUGCUAUUCAUAAUCAGACUCAUCUUACACCUUUUUCAGCAAUUAAAACUUCAUUUCUCUCAAUAA